rnacentral:rRNA from 1 species
UUGAAAAUGUAGUUUAGGCUUUUAAGUAAUAAUUGUUAUGUUCUUGAAAUUUAAAGAUUUUGGCGGUAUUUUAGUCUAUUCAGAGGAAUCUGCCCUAUAAUUGAUAAUCCACGAUUAAUAUUACUUAUUUUAUAGGUUUGUAUACCGUCAUUUUAAAAAUAUUUUAUAAGAAAAUUAAUAUUUAAUAUUUAUUAUAUUAAGUUAAAUUAGAUCAAGGUGCAGCGGAUAUUUAAGAAGAGGUGGAUUACAAUAAAUUUAUUUAUGGAUAAUUAAUUUAAAAUUAAUUUAAAAUUGGAUUUGAAAGUAAUUUUAUAUUUUAAUAAAAUGAUUUAAGCUCUAAAAUAUGU